UCCCUUUACCCCUUUCAGGACAGGGACAAACCUUGGGAAACUGGGGCUAAUGGUUCUUCACCCAAAGGGCUUUGGAAGCAUGCUUUUCAAAGUCGCCUGGGGAUGGGGCCGCGUCCGAUCAGGUUGUUGGUGAGGUAACGGCUCACCAAGCCUAUAACCGGUACGGGCCGUGAGAGCGGUAGCCCGGAGAUGGGCACUGAGACAAGGGCCCAGGCCCUACGGGGCGCAGCAGUCGCGAAAACUCCGCAAUGCACGAAAGUGUGACGGGGCUACCCCGAGUGCCGUCCGCUGAGGAUGGCUUUUCCUCGGUGUAACUAGCCGGGGGAAUAAGGAGAGGGCAAGACUGGUGUCAGCCGCCGCGGUAAUACCAGCUCUCCGAGUGGUAGGGAUGAUUAUUGGGCUUAAAGCGUCCGUAGCCGGCUUAGCAAGUCUCCUGUUAAAUUCAGCGACCUAAUCGUUGAGCCGCGGGAGAUACUACUAGGCUAGGAGGCGGGAGAGGUCGACGGUACUUCCGGGGUAGGGGUGAAAUCCUAUAAUCCCGGGCGGACCACCAGUGGCGAAGGCUGUCGACUAGAACGCGCUCGACGGUGAGGGACGAAAGCUGGGGGAGCGAACCGGAUUAGAUACCCGGGUAGUCCCAGCCGUAAAACGAUGCGGGCUAGGUGUUGGGGUGGCUACGUGCCACUUCAGUGCCGCAGGGAAGCCAUUAAGCCCGCCGCCUGGGGAGUACGGCCGCAAGGCUGAAACUUAAAGGAAUUGGCGGGGGAGCACCACAAGGCGUGAAGCUUGCGGUUCAAUUGGAGUCAACGCCGGGAAGGA
rnacentral:rRNA from 1 species